CACGAAAUUAUUUGAGCUAGUUUUGUUAAACUAUCAUGUAGCAUAAUGAUAAAUUAAAUAAAACUAGGGGUGAUAGGCUUUACAAAUAUAAUGAUAUCUUGAUUCUUUUGAAAUGUAUAAGUACNCAAACGAAUUUAAAGCUAUAAGGUUUUAAAUAAUAAUAAAAUUUAAUUACGUUGAUGUAUGAUAUAAAAAUCUAUAUAAUUAUUUAUAUAAUAUUUAAUUUAAAUAUAUUAUUUUUUUUUAAAGAGAUGUAUAACAAUUUAAUAAUUAUUAACAAUGUUAUUAUAAGUAUUAAGAAGCUAUUAAUAGUGAACUCGGCAAUAAGUUUUCAACUGUUUAUCAAAAACAUAGCUGUGUGUAAGCACACGCAGUGGUUUCUGCUCAAUGAAUUAUUAAAUAGCCGCAGUACCUUGACUGUGCAAAGGUAGCGUAAUCAUUUGUCUUUUAAUUGAAGUCGUGUAUGAAUGAAUGCAUGGGGACUUUCUUUACCAUUAAUAACCUUUGAAAUUACUUAGUGAGUGAAAAAUCUCAUAAUUAAAAAAUAGACGAGAAGACCCUAGAAAUUUGUAUUAACCUUUUGUUGGGGCAACAUAGUAACAAAUAACUUACUAUAUGUAUAUGAAAUUUAAUUGAUAACGUAAAUUACUCUAGGGAUAACAGCAUAAUAUAAGAAUGUUUGUGACCUCGAUGUUGGAUUAGGGAGUUAUAGUUUAGAA
rnacentral:rRNA from 1 species